UACGAAGGGGGCUAGCGUUGUUCGGAAUUACUGGGCGUAAAGCGUGCGUAGGUGGUGCGUUAAGUCUGUCGUGAAAGCCCCGGGCUCAACCUGGGAAUGGCGAUGGAUACUGGCUCGCUAGAGUGCGGUAGAGGAGAGUGGAAUUCCCGGUGUAGCAGUGAAGUGCGUAGAGAUCGGGAGGAACAUCAGUGGCGAAGGCGGCUCUCUGGACCAGCACUGACACUGAGGCACGAAAGCGUGGGGAGCAAACAGG
rnacentral:rRNA from 1 species